ACAACUCUUAGCGGUGGAUCACUUGGCUCGUGCGU
rnacentral:rRNA from 1 species